rnacentral:snRNA from 1 species
GUGCUUGCUUUGAUAGCACAUACACCAAAAUUGGAACGAUACAGAGAAGAUUAGCAUGGCCCCUGAGAAAGGAUGACAUGUAAUUUUUAAAAAUUAUAUUU